CGGGGUGGGACCGGAUCCUGCGUGGCUCCCAACAAUUCAGUGAAGCAGAGGCAGGCGGAGCAGGAGCUGCUGCUGAAGUGACUCUGUCACAACCACAAGGUCACCAAGGCCCCUGCAGCAGAGCCCCUCCAGUCCCCAAACCAGCCCGUGGUGGCAGGAAGCACGUUCUGGUUAUCACCAAAACUGCAUCAAACCACAGGCUCAGGUCUGAACCCAUCGAGUUUCUAAUCAGCAGUGAAAGGCAGUGCAAAAAUACCACCAUGUACAGCUCAGCUCUGCUCAGCUUAUCCACAUUUUUCUACAUUUCCUGCAUUUGAAGCUACAAAGGAUUGAAAACAAAUUUUGUCAUCAAAUGUGGAGCUGUGCCAAAUCACAGGCAGCCAGAAGAAAGCUUUGGCACAGAAAGAGCUUUGAUGGCGAGAGGAAGAAAGAUGAAAUAGCUUUGAGUGAGAGAAAGAGCAACGAGAUUGUUCCAGCCCAAAGAGAGAGAAGCUCUGCUGUUCUCUCCCCUGCUCACUCACAGACCUGCUUGCCUGGGAGCCCUGCUGUGAUCUCUGGUCCAUCCAGAAUGUCCCCUCUGUCCCCCAGGGCAGCCUCAGGACGCUGCAGGAACUGGGCAGUGCAUGGCAAAGGCUCAGCUGGGACAUGGGUGCCUGCAAAGAGCCUGGACAGCCCAAGAAGGGACAAUUUCAGGGAGCUGGGAGGUUCAAGAGGAUUCCCAGCACAGAAGGAGGAAUCUCCCUGCUGCCUGCACAUCCCACCUUGCUGCCCUGCAGGGAGCAGCCCCUGCUCUGUCACUCCUGUGCCCAUGGCUCUCCUGCUUCCCACAUCCCUCCUGGCAGCAGCCAGCAAGGCCAGAGACCAGAGGCUGGAAGGGCUGUGGGGAAAAUCACCCCAAAAUAAGUUAGAGCAACUCAAGAAGAGGAUCCAGGAGCAGAAGAGAAAGCAGCAAACAGCACCCUGGGAGGAGGAGCGCCUGAUUUUUGCUAAAGACCCCCUGCCAAAGAGAGCCCUGAAAAGAAAGGUUUGCAGAGUGGCCUCUGCUCCUCCUGCUCACAGAGGUCAGUGGUGGUCUGGAAUCUCUGGAGAAAGGCUGGAACUGGG
rnacentral:lncRNA from 1 species